rnacentral:rRNA from 1 species
AUGAACGCUAGCUACAGGCUUAACACAUGCAAGUCGAGGGGCAGCAUGGUCUUAGCUUGCUAAGGCCGAUGGCGACCGGCGCACGGGUGAGUAACACGUAUCCAACCUGCCGUCUACUCUUGGACAGCCUUCUGAAAGGAAGAUUAAUACAAGAUGGCAUCAUGAGUCCGCAUGUUCACAUGAUUAAAGGUAUUCCGGUAGACGAUGGGGAUGCGUUCCAUUAGAUAGUAGGCGGGGUAACGGCCCACCUAGUCUUCGAUGGAUAGGGGUUCUGAGAGGAAGGUCCCCCACAUUGGAACUGAGACACGGUCCAAACUCCUACGGGAGGCAGCAGUGAGGAAUAUUGGUCAAUGGGCGAGAGCCUGAACCAGCCAAGUAGCGUGAAGGAUGACUGCCCUAUGGGUUGUAAACUUCUUUUAUAAAGGAAUAAAGUCGGGUAUGGAUACCCGUUUGCAUGUACUUUAUGAAUAAGGAUCGGCUAACUCCGUGCCAGCAGCCGCGGUAAUACGGAGGAUCCGAGCGUUAUCCGGAUUUAUUGGGUUUAAAGGGAGCGUAGAUGGAUGUUUAAGUCAGUUGUGAAAGUUUGCGGCUCAACCGUAAAAUUGCAGUUGAUACUGGAUAUCUUGAGUGCAGUUGAGGCAGGCGGAAUUCGUGGUGUAGCGGUGAAAUGCUUAGAUAUCACGAAGAACUCUGAUUGCGAAGGCAGUCUGCUAAGCUGUAACUCACAUUGAGGCUCGAAAGUGUUGGUAUCAAACAGGAUUAGCUACCCUGGUAGUCCACACGGUAAACGAUGAAUACUCGCUGUUUGCGAUAUACUGCAAGCGGCCAAGCGAAAGCGUUAAGUAUUCCACCUGGGGAGUACGCCGGCAACGGUGAAACUCAAAGGAAUUGACGGGGGCCCGCACAAGCGGAGGAACAUGUGGUUUAAUUCGAUGAUACGCGAGGAACCUUACCCGGGCUUAAAUUGCAGAUGAAUUACGGUGAAAGCCGUAAGCCGCAAGGCAUCUGUGAAGGUGCUGCAUGGUUGUCGUCAGCUCGUGUCGUGAGAUGUUGGGUUAAGUCCCGCAACGAGCGCAACCCUUAUUUCCAGUUACUACGUUAAGAGGACUCUGGCGAGACUGCCGUUGACAAAACGGAGGAAGGUGGGGAUGACGUCAAAUCAGCACGGCCCUUACGUCCGGGGCUACACACGUGUUACAAUGGGGGGUACAGAGGGCCGCUACCACGCGAGUGGAUGCCAAUCCCCAAAACCUCUCUCAGUUCGGACUGGAGUCUGCAACCCGACUCCACGAAGCUGGAUUCGCUAGUAAUCGCGCAUCAGCCACGGCGCGGUGAAUACGUUCCCGGGCCUUGUACACACCGCCCGUCAAGCCAUGGGAGCCGGGGGUACCUGAAGUGCGUAACCGCGAGGAGCGCCCUAGGGUAAAACUGGUGACUGGGGCU